rnacentral:lncRNA from 1 species
CAUUUUUUGACAUAUACUAAAGCAUUUUUAGAAAAUGGAGUUCACCCUAAAUGUAUCAAUUAUCUCUUGUUCCUCUUGUAUCCCACUUUUCUUAGGCGUUUGAAGAGAGGCAGUUAACAGCAGGAAGCCCAGGAUCCAUCCUGAUGUCUCCCCUCUCUCAGUACCCCCUGCCGAGCCAUAAAAUGUGUGUGUUUCAGAGACUGUCUGGUCCAUUACACCCUUAGCCACUGUGUCUCGGGGCAGGACUGGUUAAUGUUGAUGAUCAAGGAGUGUUGAGGACAGGACCUGGUACAGGCCAUGCUAUUUUGGAGGGUUAUGCCAUAGACAUUUGUGGUAUCUACCAAACACUGCUGAUCAUUGUGGAGGUAAGAGUGGAGCAUGUGUCCAUUCCUCCCGCUGAUAGGCUCCUCACUAAUUGGUCUGAAGUCUCAUAAUAUACAGCCAGAGCGGAUCUGAACACAGCUCAACGCAAUCUAGAGCAGUGGGGAGGCCAUACAACCUGAGGCAGAGCUACUGCGCUCGCUACACU